AUCAGACUUGUUACAAGGUUGUUCUAACAAGUCUGAUACAGUCAUGAUAUAACACGAAUGUUACAAGGUUGACGACUCAAGGUUGUAACAUUAUUGUAUGACUGUAUCGGACUUGUUGGAACAACCUUGCAACAAUUCUGAU